rnacentral:rRNA from 1 species
UGGGGAAUAUUGCACAAUGGGCGAAAGCCUGAUGCAGCAACGCCGCGUGAGUGAUGAAGGUCUUCGGAUUGUAAAGCUCUGUCUUUUGGGACGAUAAUGACGGUACCAAAGGAGGAAGCCACGGCUAACUACGUGCCAGCAGCCGCGGUAAUACGUAGGUGGCGAGCGUUGUCCGGAUUUACUGGGCGUAAAGGGUGCGUAGGCGGAUGUUUAAGUGAGAUGUGAAAUACCCGGGCUUAACUUGGGUGCUGCAUUUCAAACUGGAUAUCUAGAGUGCAGGAGAGGAGAAUGGAAUUCCUAGUGUAGCGGUGAAAUGCGUAGAGAUUAGGAAGAACACCAGUGGCGAAGGCGAUUCUCUGGACUGUAACUGACGCUGAGGCACGAAAGCGUGGGUAGCAAACAGGAUUAGAUACCCUGGUAGUCCACGCCGUAAACGAUGAGUACUAGGUGUAGGAGGUAUCGACCCCUUCUGUGCCGCAGUAAAACGCAUUAAGUACUCCGCCUGGG